UACGAAGGGGGCUAGCGUUGCUCGGAAUCACUGGGCGUUAAAGGGCGCGUAGGCGGAUCUUUUAAGUUGGGGGGUGAAAGCCCAGGGCUCAACCCUGGAAUUGCCUUCGAUACUGGAGAUCUUGAGACCGGAAGAGGUAAUGGAACUGCGAGUGUAGAGGUGAAAUUCGUAGAUAUUCGCAAGAACACCAGUGGCGAAAGGCGGCUUACUGGUC
rnacentral:rRNA from 1 species